GACGAACGCUGGCGGCGUGCUUAACACAUGCAAGUCGAACGGAAAGGCCCUGCUUUUGUGGGGUGCUCGAGUGGCGAACGGGUGAGUAACACGUGAGUAACCUGCCCUUGACUUUGGGAUAACUUCAGGAAACUGGGGCUAAUACCGGAUAGGAGCUCCUGCUGCAUGGUGGGGGUUGGAAAGUUUCGGCGGAUGGGGAUGGACUCGCGGCUUAUCAGCUUGUUGGUGGGGUAGUGGCUUACCAAGGCUUUGACGGGUAGCCGGCCUGAGAGGGUGACCGGCCACAUUGGGACUGAGAUACGGCCCAGACUCCUACGGGAGGCAGCAGUGGGGAAUAUUGCACAAUGGGCGGAAGCCUGAUGCAGCAACGCCGCGUGCGGGAUGACGGCCUUCGGGUUGUAAACCGCUUUCGCCUGUGACGAAGCGUGAGUGACGGUAAUGGGUAAAGAAGCACCGGCUAACUACGU
rnacentral:rRNA from 1 species